GUCUACAGUCAAGCUACCCUCAACAUGCCUGAUUUCAUCUGAUCUCGGAAGCUAAGCAGGGUCAGACCUAGUUAGUUUGGAUGGGAGACCACCUAGGAAUACCAGAAAAGAACACU
rnacentral:rRNA from 1 species